ACAUUAGUGGUUCAGUGGUAGAAUUCUCACCUUCCAUGUGAGACACCCAGGUUUGAUUCCUGGCCAGUGCA
rnacentral:tRNA from 1 species